UCGUACUAGUGUGCUGUAGGACCAAUGGGAAUUUUUCGGGUUUUGAGAGGUCGGAACAAUGGAGCGUCAGAAAAAUGACAUGGCAUGACAGUGCGAAAACAGCCUC